rnacentral:piRNA from 2 species
UGAGCUGAGCUGUAGGGACAAAGGCCCAGC